rnacentral:rRNA from 1 species
GGGUGCAGCAGGCGCGAAACCUUUGCAAUGUGCGCAAGCACGACAAGGUUAAUCCGAGUGUUUCCUGCUAAAGGAAUCUUUUGUUAGUUUUAAAAUCACUAUUGAAUAAGGGGUGGGCAAGUUCUGGUGUCAGCCGCCGCGGUAAAACCAGCACCUCAAGUGGUCAGGAGGAUUAUUGGGCCUAAAGCAUCCGUAGCCUGCUCUGUAAGUUUCCGGUUAAAUCCAUUAGCUCAACUAAUGGCCUGCCGGAAAUACUGUAGAGCUAGGAAGUGGGAGAGGUAGACGGUACUCGGUAGGAAGGGGUAAAAUCCUUUGAUCUAUUGAUGACCACCUGUGGCGAAGGCGGUCUACCAGAACACGUUCGACGGUGAGGGAUGAAAGCUGGGGGAGCAAACCGGAUUAGAUACCCGGGUAGUCCCAGCUGUAAACGAUGCAGACUCGGUGAUGCCCUGGCUUGUGGCCAGUGCAGUGCCGCAGGGAAGCCGUUAAGUUUGCCGCCUGGGAAGUACGUACGCAAGUAUGAAACUUAAAGGAAUUGGCGGGGGAGCACCACAAGGGGUGAAGCCUGCGGUUCAAUUGGAGUCAACGCCAGAAAUCUUACCCGGAGAGACAGCAGAAUGAAGGUCAAGCUGAAGACUUUACCAGACAAGCUGAGAGGUGGUGCAUGGCCGUCGCCAGCUCGUGCCGUGAGAUGUCCUGUUAAGUCAGGUAACGAGCGAGAUCCCUGCCUCUAGUUGCCACCAUUACUCUCA